rnacentral:rRNA from 1 species
AGAGUUUGAUCAUGGCUCAGGACGAACGCUGGCGGCGCGCCUAACACAUGCAAGUCGAACGGAGUUAUUUUGGCAGAAGCCUUCGGGUGGACGCUGAUAUAACUUAGUGGCGAACGGGUGAGUAACACGUGAGCAACCUGCCCUUCAGAGGGGGACAACAGUUGGAAACGACUGCUAAUACCGCAUAAGACCACGGUGUGGCAUCACACAGAGGUCAAAGGAGAAAUCCGCUGAAGGAUGGGCUCGCGUCCAAUUAGCUAGAUGGUGAGGUAACGGCCCACCAUGGCGACGAUUGGUAGCCGGACUGAGAGGUUGAUCGGCCACAUUGGGACUGAGACACGGCCCAGACUCCUACGGGAGGCAGCAGUGGGGAAUAUUGCACAAUGGAGGAAACUCUGAUGCAGCGACGCCGCGUGAGGGAAGAAGGUCUUCGGAUUGUAAACCUCUGUUGUCAGGGACGGUAAUGACGGUACCUGACGAGGAAGCCAC